GUAAAUUCGGGGCAGGGGGCGAGGGUAAGACGGAGGGGCAAAGCGGUGAUCGGAAUUACUGGGAGUAAAGGUUGCGCAGUGGUGUGUGGAAGACCGAUUUGAAAUCCCCGAGCUUAACUUGGGAAGUGCAGUGGUGACUGCACGGCUAGAGUGUGGCAGAGGGGGGUAGAAUUCCACGUGUAGCAGUGAAAUGCGUAGAGAUGUGGAGGAAUACCGAUGGCGAAGGCAGCCCCCUGGGAUAACACUGACGCUCAUGCACGAAAGCGUGGGGAGCAAACAGGAUUAGAUACCCGAGUAGUC
rnacentral:rRNA from 1 species